rnacentral:rRNA from 1 species
UACGUAGGGUGCAAGCGUUAAUCGGAAUUACUGGGCGUAAAGCGUGCGCAGGCGGUUUUGUAAGUCUGACGUGAAAUCCCCGGGCUCAACCUGGGAAUUGCGAUGGAGACUGCAGGGCUUGAAUCUGGCAGAGGGGGGUAGAAUUCCACGUGUAGCAGUGAAAUGCGUAGAGAUGUGGAGGAACACCGAUGGCGAAGGCAGCCCCCUGGGUCAAGAUUGACGCUCAUGCACGAAAGCGUGGGGAGCAAACAGG